rnacentral:rRNA from 1 species
GAUGAACGCCGGCGGCGUGCUUAACACAUGCAAGUCGAACGAAGCAUUUGCGACAGAUUUUUUCGGAAUGAAGUUGCUUAUGACUGAGUGGCGGACGGGUGAGUAACGCGUGGGUAACCUGCCUUGUACUGGGGGAUAGCAGCUGGAAACGGCUGGUAAUACCGCAUAAGCGCACAAUGUUGCAUGACAUGGUGUGAAAAACUCCGGUGGUAUAAGAUGGACCCGCGUCUGAUUAGCUAGUUGGUGAGAUAACAGCCCACCAAGGCGACGAUCAGUAGCCGACCUGAGAGGGUGACCGGCCACAUUGGGACUGAGACACGGCCCAGACUCCUACGGGAGGCAGCAGUGGGGAAUAUUGCACAAUGGAGGAAACUCUGAUGCAGCGACGCCGCGUGAGUGAAGAAGUAAUUCGUUAUGUAAAGCUCUAUCAGCAGGGAAGAUAGUGACGGUACCUGACUAAGAAGCUCCGGCUAAAUACGUG